rnacentral:lncRNA from 1 species
UCCCGCGCCCGCAACGCUCGGAUGCACGGACCGAAGAGUUUGGAGGAACCCAAAACCCAACCCUCAGCUCCCGCUAACCCCUUCCUCCCAGCGCACGGCGGCCCCGCGCCCGUGUCCCCAAAAUUUCAGGCCUUUCCCGACCCAUCGUCUUCCAUUGCUGCUUGAAACAGGGACUUAAAAUUCAUCUCGACUCUUCCCUUCCUCUAAAAUGCCUCGUCUAAACGGGGUGGUGGAGCAGACUCUACGCUUGCCCGAUUUAGAGAGCUGCACUAGCAGAAAGGGUCCCUCACUUCAUGCCCACUUUGAUCCCCGCAGUUGCAGCCCCUCUGAUCCCUGCGCCAUCCAGCUGGGCUGUUUCAGUCACCUCCCCCAGGACGCUGUUUUCUGCCAGAUUCCUCCUUGGGUCUACAAGAACCUCUUUCCUCACCUCCAGCUUGGCCCAGCGUCCUGUAAUUGAGAGCCAGCGUGAUCAAGCUAGAUUUGUGGAUCGAGGACGCACGCGUGAACGAAACGGCGCUCACCGCCUGGCUGCGUUCGUUAUCUCUGCGGCCGCCAGCGAGGGCUGGCGUUAUCGCUGAAAUCCUGUCCCUCCCCGAUAAAGGCUCUCGGCAGAGAAAACGUGGCUGCAGAGAUGCAGGCAAAGCCCUCCAUCUUCGAGCCUGCGUGGAAAACCCGCUGUUGGAGGGAGGAAGAGCAGAUUCAUGCCCCCAGAAAGAGCUCCUGAACGUGGCUGRAGCCUACAGGAGGUAGCGCUGGUUUCGCCACGCAGGAUUUCCAAAGGGGGCUGGGGAGAGGCGCCUGGGUCCUCCACGGCUGCCGGGAACUUGCUGGGGGCUCUCGUUUACUUCUUGCUGCCUUGCCCAUGCUUCUGUUUCUAGCUGUGUCCAUCUUAGCUGUCGAAUGACUAAGGAUUUCAGCGCAUCGAUCCGCUCUGUUGUGGAGACUCGCAAAAUACCAGUCAGCAAUAAAGGUGCAUAAAAGCAAUAAAUUCCCA